rnacentral:rRNA from 1 species
CCUACGGGCGACAGCAGUGAGGAAUAUUGGUCAAUGGACGAGAGUCUGAACCAGCCCCGUAGCGUGAAGGAUGACUGCCCUAUGGGUUGUAAACUUCUUUUAUAUGGGAAUAAAAUGUUCCACGUGUGGGAUUUUGUAUGUACCAUAUUAAUAAGGAUCGGCUAACUCCGUGCCAGCAGCCGCGGUAAUACGGAGGAUCCGAGCGUUAUCCGGAUUUAUUGGGUUUAAAGGGAGCGUAGGUGGAUUGUUAAGUCAGUUGUGAAAGUUUGCGGCUCAACCGUAAAAUUGCAGUUGAAACUGGCAGUCUUGAGUACAGUAGAGGUGGGCGGAAUUCGUGGUGUAGCGGUGAAAUGCUUAGAUAUCACGAAGAACUCCGAUUGCGAAGGCAGUUCACUGGACUGCAACUGACACUGAGGCUCGAAAGUGUGGGUAUCAAACAGGAUUAGAUACCCUUGUAGUC